rnacentral:rRNA from 1 species
UGGGGAAUAUUGGACAAUGGGCGCAAGCCUGAUCCAGCCAUGCCGCGUGAGUGAUGAAGGCCCUAGGGUUGUAAAGCUCUUUCACCGGUGAAGAUAAUGACGGUAACCGGAGAAGAAGCCCCGGCUAACUUCGUGCCAGCAGCCGCGGUAAUACGAAGGGGGCUAGCGUUGUUCGGAUUUACUGGGCGUAAAGCGCACGUAGGCGGACUUUUAAGUCAGGGGUGAAAUCCCGGGGCUCAACCCCGGAACUGCCUUUGAUACUGGAAGUCUUGAGUAUGGUAGAGGUGAGUGGAAUUCCGGGUGUAGAGGUGAAAUUCGUAGAUAUUCGGUGGAACACCAGUGGCGAAGGCGGCUCACUGGACCAUUACUGACGCUGAGGUGCGAAAGCGUGGGGAGCAAACAGG